GACGAACGCGGCGGCGUGCCUAAUACAUGCAAGUAGAACGCUGAAGAGAGGAGCUUGCUCUUCUUGGAUGAGUUGCGAACGGGUGAGUAACGCGUAGGUAACCUGCCUGGUAGCGGGGGAUAACUAUUGGAAACGAUAGCUAAUACCGCAUAAAAUUGAUUAUUGCAUGAUAAUUAAUUGAAAGAUGCAAUUGCAUCACUACCAGAUGGACCUGCGUUGUAUUAGCUAGUUGGUGAGGUAACGGCUCACCAAGGCGACGAUACAUAGCCGACCUGAGAGGGUGAUCGGCCACACUGGGACUGAGACACGGCCCAGACUCCUACGGGAGGCAGCAGUAGGGAAUCUUCGGCAAUGGGGGGAACCCUGACCGAGCAACGCCGCUGAGUGAAGAAGGUUUUCGGAUGUAAAGCUCUGUUGUAAGAGAAGAACGGGUGUGAGAAG
rnacentral:rRNA from 1 species